rnacentral:rRNA from 1 species
UGGGGAAUAUUGCACAAUGGAGGGAACUCUGAUGCAGCGACGCCGCGUGAACGAAGAAGGCUUUCGAGUCGUAAAGUUCUUUUAUAUGGGAAGAUAAUGACGGUACCAUAAGAAAAAGCCCCGGCUAACUACGUGCCAGCAGCCGCGGUAAUACGUAGGGGGCUAGCGUUGUCCGGAAUCACUGGGCGUAAAGGGUUCGCAGGCGGAAAUGCAAGUCAGGUGUAAAAGGCAGUAGCUUAACUACUGUAAGCAUUUGAAACUGCAUAUCUUGAGAAGAGUAGAGGUAAGUGGAAUUUUGAGUGUAGCGGUGAAAUGCGUAGAUAUUAAAAAGAAUACCGGUGGCGAAGGCGGCUUACUGGGCUCAUUCUGACGCUGAGGAACGAAAGCGUGGGUAGCAAACAGG